AGCCGUGCGAUAAGCACAUAGCGAACUAUUCUUUCGCCUUUUACUAAAGAAUACCGUGUGUUUGUCGUACCAAGCGGCAUACGCCUAUUUUUGGAGGGUUGUCUCAUAUGAGAUCAU
rnacentral:snRNA from 2 species